UGGAUAUGAUGACUGAUUACCUGAGAAAUAAUUGAUGAGAUUUCAA
rnacentral:snoRNA from 1 species